GCAAAGGAUAGCUCAGCUGGUAGAGUGUGGGAUUGUUAAUCUCUGGGUCAUGGGUUUCAGCCCCAUGUUGGGCA